rnacentral:rRNA from 1 species
UACGAAGGGAGCUAGCGUUGUUCGGAAUUACUGGGCGUAAAGCGCACGUAGGCGGACUUGUCAGUCAGGGGUGAAAUCCCAAGGCUCAACCUUGGAACUGCCUCCGAUACAGCAAGUCUUGAGAUCGGGAGAGGUGAGUGGAAUUCCUAGUGUAGAGGUGAAAUUCGUAGAUAUUAGGAAGAACACCAGUGGCGAAGGCGCCUCACUGGUCCGGUACUGACGCUGAGGUGCGAAAGCGUGGGGAGCAAAUAGG